rnacentral:rRNA from 1 species
GAUGAACGCUAGCUACAGGCUUAACACAUGCAAGUCGCGGGGCAGCAUGGGGGUUGCUUGCAAUCCCCGAUGGCGACCGGCGCACGGGUGAGUAACGCGUAUCCAACCUGCCCUUCACCACGGGAUAACCCGGCGAAAGUCGGACUAAUACCGUAUGUUGUCCAUUGACGGCAUCCGAUUUGGACGAAAGGCUUGGCGGUGAGGGAUGGGGAUGCGUCCGAUUAGCCAGACGGCGGGGGAACGGCACACCGUGGCUACGAUCGGUAGGGGUUCUGAGAGGAAGGUCCCCCACACUGGAACUGAGACACGGUCCAGACUCCUACGGGAGGCAGCAGUGAGGAAUAUUGGUCAAUGGGCGUAAGCCUGAACCAGCCAAGUAGCGUGCAGGAUGACGGCCCUAUGGGUUGUAAACUGCUUUUAUGCGGGGAUAAAGUGGCCCACGUGUGGGCUUUUGCAGGUACCGCAUGAAUAAGGACCGGCUAAUUCCGUG